rnacentral:rRNA from 1 species
UUGCAGAAUCCCGUGAACCAUCGAGUCUUUGAACGCAAGUUGCGCCCCAAGCCGUUAGGCUGAGGGCACGUCUGCCUGGGUGUCACGCAUCGUUGCCCCACCCC